UACGAAGGGGGCUAGCGUUGUUCGGAAUUACUGGGCGUAAAGCGCGCGCAGGCGGUUCUCCAAGUCAGUGGUGAAAGCCCGGAGCUCAACUCCGGAAUUGCCAUUGAAACUGUUGAACUCGAGGACGAGAGAGGUGAGUGGAAUUCCCAGUGUAGAGGUGAAAUUCCGUAGAUAUCGGGAGGAACACCGGUGGCGAAGGCGGUUCUCUGGGCCUGUACUGACGCUGAGGAGCGAAGCGUGGGGAGCGAACAGG
rnacentral:rRNA from 1 species